AGAGUUUGAUCCUGGCUCAGGAUGAACGCUAGCUACAGGCUUAACACAUGCAAGUCGAGGGGAAACGAUAUUGGAAGCUUGCUUCCGAUAGGCGUCGACCGGCGCACGGGUGAGUAACGCGUAUCCAACCUGCCCACCACUUGGGGAUAACCUUGCGAAAGUAAGACUAAUACCCAAUGACGUCUCUAGAAGACAUCUGAAAGAGAUUAAAGAUUUAUCGGUGAUGGAUGGGGAUGCGUCUGAUUAGCUUGUUGGCGGGGUAGCGGCCACCAAGGCGACGAUCAGUAGGGGUUCUGAGAGGAAGGUCCCCCANAUUGGAACUGAGACACGGUCCAAACUCCUACGGGAGCA
rnacentral:rRNA from 1 species